UCUCACUGUCACUAUUCCUUAAGCUUGAUCAGCUUACAUGCCCCAUGGUAACUGUUGAGGGUUACUGAUGGGUCAUUCAUCCAUCAGAAUUACCUGCCAGCUAUUCCAGGCAUGCAGACGGAUGGAAGGGAGACUCUGGAUGAGAUGUGACAGCUUUCUGCUUCUGCAGUGAGAAUAGCUGAGAGCUGGAGAAAGUGGGUGCUGAUGGAGGAUCGACUGCUCUACUUCAUGAGACAGAAACUGGGGAGCAAUGCUGUGUGUCCAGAGUGAAUGCCUGAGGUCCUGCUGGUAAGGCACAACAUUCCAUUGCCCUCCUUUUUUCCAACUAAAAGCAGGAAGAAAUGUCAAGGAGACUGGCAAGAAUAUCUGUGUUCUCAGCAGUGUCCCCAGCAUACAUCUUGCUGUGCCUGACUGGGGCAUGCCAUCACCAGCAUGUCUAAUUCCAUCGUGU
rnacentral:lncRNA from 1 species